GGAAGGGUGCGAGAGUGGUUUAAUCGGCACGCCUGGAAAGCGUGUGUGCCGGAAACGGUACCAGGGGUUCGAAUCCCCUCCCUUCCG
rnacentral:tRNA from 1 species